ACGUAGGGGGCAAGCGUUAUCCGGAUUUACUGGGUGUAAAGGGAGCGUAGACGGAGUGGCAAGUCUGAUGUGAAAGGCGGGGGCUCAACCCCUGGACUGCAUUGGAAACUGUCAGUCUUGAGUGCCGGAGAGGUAAGCGGAAUUCCUAGUGUAGCGGUGAAAUGCGUAGAUAUUAGGAGGAACACCAGUGGCGAAGGCGGCUUACUGGACGGUAACUGACGUUGAGGCUCGAAAGCGUGGGGAGCAAACAG
rnacentral:rRNA from 1 species